GGGGUUCUGUGGUCAAAUCUCUUUGGUUAUCCUUGCAUGCGGAGCCUUCCAUGUCCUCUGGGCACACAAAAGCUCUAGCAAUGGAAGAUGAAGAUGCAUCGAAUGCUUGGUGAAAUUUAACCCGUUGUUUCCAAAGCGUAUCUGGUGAGAGUCGCUGUUGGCGAGACAUUUUAGAAUGCCAAACAGCGCAUAGUCUGCUGCAGAGCCUAAGUGUUAACCAUUUACAGUGUCACGGUAGCCUGUCGCCCCCUUACUCCUGUCUGAAGCCUUUGACCUUCAUGUUCGUGUCCUACCCAGCAAAGCGACCUGGACGGGUGGGAGGGAAGAGCAGAUUCACUGACUCUUCUCAGAACCCUCUGAAGGCUCACCUGGAGAGCUCUGACCAAGUCCCUCAGAGAAGGCUCUAGAGGCCUGAAAGCCCUUACCUUGGAAGUUUGUAGUGACCUAAUGAUCCUGGAGAGCUGGGGGCUGGGCUGUGCUCAGGCUGCUGCGAGCAUGGACUUCCUGGAUCCCCAUCCCCUGCGUUUACUGUGGCACAUUACACUUAAAAGUUACCGUCGUGGCUGCUUCCGCUGUAGCUCCGUGGCAUUAUGCACAUUGUUACCCAGCCAUUACCAUCUGCCCACAAAGCUUUUCCAUGCAACUGAAAUCCCAAAACAUGGCUCUCCGUUCUUCCCUCCCCACACUCCCAGCCCCCACUCUACCUUCUGCUUUGCAUACCGACUCUAGGUACUUCACAUAGCUGGGGUCAUACCGUUGUCCUUUUCUGACUGGCUUACUUCACUUAACAGUGCCCUCGUGGUCUAUCUACUUGUAGAACAUACCAGAAUCCCUUUAUGCAUCAGCUUGUACUUCCUGUAGCCAUUCAUCAGUGAGCGGCUUCCAUCUUUUGGCCAUUGUGACUAACGCUGCUGUGGACGGAGAGAACCAGUUCCACAGUUGUCCUCUGACAUUCACAAGGGCACUGUGGCACACACGCAUAAAGGCACACACAACAACAACGAUAGCGGUUACGUUUUUAAAAGAGACAAAUGCCUGUUGAAGUCUUCGCUCUUGUAGAGUCAUUGGGUCGCAUGGUGAUCCCAUGUGUGUAUGUGGAUUAUACUGCUGGGUGCAAUGUGCAGAGGCCAGAAGAUGACACCAGGCAUCUUCCUCUACCCUCCCCAUCUUCUGUGAUGAGACAGCGCCUCUCAUUAAUACUGGAACUCACCCACUUGGCUAAGUCUGGAGCCACUGAGCCCUCGGGAUCUGCCUCUUUCCAUCCCACAGUGCUGGGGUUACGUGCACUCAAGGCCAUGCGCGAUGUCUGUGCAGAGCCUGGGAGUUUGAACUCAGGACCUCUUGCUUUCACAGCAGGCAUUUCUUCGCACUCAGCUACAACCCCCACCCCUAUGUUGAAGCAUUUGAAGGACCACCAUAAUCUUUCCAUAGCUCCCCGUUGUUAGUUUCCGACCACAUUCUUGAAUGAAAAUGGUUGGUCAAACUUGAGCUUGUACCCACCUCGAGAUAGCAGAGUUCUUAUACACCCUUGGUAUUUAGAUUUACACUAUUCUAAUUAUGGUGCCAAUACAUAAUAUGUGUAUAAGCAAAGCAGGUGAAAAUGUCCUCCUUGUGCUGUAAUAAAAAUCAAAGAUGAGCACCUUGGAGCUGGAGUUAUGACCCAGCAGCU
ensembl:lncRNA